UACAGAGGGGGCAAGCGUUGUUCGGAAUUACUGGGCGUAAAGGGCGCGUAGGCGGCGUGUCAAGUCAGGCGUGAAAGCCCCGGGCUCAACCUGGGAACCGCGCUUGAGACUGGCAUGCUCGAGUUCGGGAGAGGAUGGUGGAAUUCCUGGUGUAGCGGUGAAAUGCGCAGAUAUCAGGAGGAACACCAAUGGCGAAGGCAGCUCGCUGGGACGGUACUGACGCUGAGACGCGAAAGCGUGGGGAGCAAACAGG
rnacentral:rRNA from 1 species